GACGAACGCUGGCGGCGUGCUUAACACAUGCAAGUCGAACGGAAAGGCCUGCUUUCCCUUGUGGAUUGCGGGUACUCGAGUGGCGAACGGGUGAGUAACACGUGAGUGAUCUGCCCCCAACUUGGGUAUAAGCCUGGGAAACUGGGUCUAAUUCCCGAUAGGACUGCAGGGUGGUGCCUGUGGUGGAAAACGAUUUUCUAGUGGUUGGGGAUGAGCUCGCGGCCUAUCAGCUUGUUGGUGGGGUAAUGGCCUACCAAGGCGGCGACGGGUAGCCGGCCUGGGAGGGUGGGCGGCCACAUUGGGACUGAGAUACGGCCCAGACUCCUACGGGAGGCAGCAGUGGGGAAUAUUGCACAAUGGGCGGAAGCCUGAUGCAGCGACGCCGCGUGGGGGAUGACGGCCUUCGGGUUGUAAACUCCUUUCGACCGCGAGGAAGCCACCUGGUUGGAAGGGUGGUGACGGUAGUGGUAGAAGAAGCACCGGCUAACUACGUG
rnacentral:rRNA from 1 species